CUUCAUGUCAUAUGACAGAGCACCUCAUUCUGAUAAACUUUUGGACCAAUGUUGUCAAUAAAACUGUUAAUUAAAUAUUCAAAAUUAUUUAAAAAAGCUACUUUUGCAAACUAGUCCAACGGUUUAAGCUAAAAAUCAAUAAAACCACUGAAGUACAAUUCUCUAGACUCUGUAGGUCAAUAAUUAUCAAAAAAAAAAAAAAAUUUUAAACAAUUGCAUUUGGACAACUAUUAAGCGGUCAUUUUAUUAUAUGUUCUUAACAUAGUGUACCCAAAGGCCUAUUAAUACAAACAGACAGCCCACAAAUUAUCAAAACUGUGUAAAAUAAUGCAUAUUUUCAUUCUAGAGAAGCAUGCAAAAUUUAAGAGGGAUUGGGCAAAAAAUAACACUCUAAUAGUUAUAAAUUUUAAAAACACAGUGUUGUAUGAGAAAUUGCCAUAUUUAACCACUAGAUGGCAGCGGAAGAUCACUAAUGGGCUAAUUCAUCUAACAUUAAACAGUUCAAAGGUUUUAUGGAUUCAUGUCAAAACAAUUAAAAACCAAUGUUAUAACAUUUAAAAUCUCGUUGAGUCAAAGUUUGUCAGCCAUACAUCCAGGUUGGCCGAGACCAUCCCAAAG
ensembl:lncRNA